UUGGAAUGUGGGAGCCUAGAAAUAACC
rnacentral:piRNA from 1 species